ACGAAUCACGGGAGUCCCAGGAUUACGGGGGCUGAGAGUGGGCACGCCUGCCCUUACCGUUCGACCUGAUCCGGAUCAUGCCGGCGAAGGGAGCAGAGCAUGGCACCCG
rnacentral:ncRNA from 1 species